AUUGACUUUUUUAUUUCUCUUUUUUCCCCUCUAAUUUAUGAUCACAAGGAUGAGUGCUCACCAUUUCUAGAGAGAUAAGCAUCAAAGUCACACAGCAUUACAUUCCGAAGAUAUAAAUUACUGUCACUGUGAUGGCAUGUCUCCAAGAGCCAAGAGAAGCCCUGUCACACAGGAGCUUGGAAGAUGGCCUCCGAUGGUGCCGUGGCGGUCUCCAGCCCCGAGGGCGAAGGCAACAAGAAGGAGAAGGCUCCCAAGUCUCUGGCUUCGCCGAGGAGUAGCAGCGGCAUCGGCGGCGGUGGCGGUGGCCUCUGUCUGUGCUCGCCUACCACCCACCAAGGCUCCUUCCGCUGCCGGUUCCACCGCUCUCUCUCCACCUCGUGGAUGCGGCGCUCCAAGUCCAUGCCUUCUUCCACCUCCACCUCCAACUCCUCCUCCUCCCCUCCUCCUCCCCUCUUUCCCAAUCCCUUGGAGGCUACUCAGAACUAGGAUGGACCGCAGCUGCGUCAUCUCUCCAUUCUGUUGCUUUCAAUACUAGACUUUGAACUGUAGGUAACCUCAUCACUGUGGUACGCAUGCAAGCUUCUUUCCUUGGUUGCGAGAGCUGAAGCCAUGUUUCAGUGGAUCAAGUUCUGAUUUGUCAGCUCUCUUUGCUGAUAUAUAUAGAGAGCGAGAGGGAGAGAGAGAGUCUUAUAGUUGGAUUUUACUGUACAACGUUCUGCUGCAAGGAGAGAGACUAAUCCAGUUGAUGCUGGAGAUAUAGAUCAGCCAAUGGUAUCAUGCAUGAGCUCAGGAGACUGCCUGCACUGUCGAUGCUUUCCACUGCUGUAAUUUCCAUGGUUUAUGAUUCCCUCUUAUCAGUCCAGAAGUCGAUCAUCGAUCCUAAAUCAGGAGACAAAUUGCGAAUCUUGACACUUGUGAGGAGAGAUUACCAUAUCGAAAGUCCUCGAUCAUGUUGGAUCUCUGUGCUUCCUCCUGCAAGAAAACAUUUAGAUUUGUUGUGGGUUGAUGAUUAAGUGACAGGGGAUUAAUUUUCCUACCAAAUUUCGCUCUUAAUGUUUCCAAAUUCCAUAUUCAAUUAGCUUCUUAGAAAUUAAAUUAUCCCAAUUUAAUUACGUGCUUGAAUUUGUUUUUGAUUAAUAAGUGUUCUAAUCCUACUUAAAUGGAUUAAGUAUUCAUUGGUAUCUGAAAAAUCCGAUCCGCUAUCGUCGUAUUCGUCACACAUGAUUGACCACCGCCGACGAUUCCCUGGAUUAAUUGACGACCUAGCUUUUUGAUGAUUGGUCGACCAAGUGGAGCCCAUUGCGGAGCCACAGGUGGGUCGAGUUCGGAGGUUCCCCCUAAUUAAUCACAAAUGAGAGAACUCCAUUGCCGAUUCUGUAAAUUAGAUCGGACAGCUACCCUUGCGAUGAUUGGAAGACCAGGUGGAGCCCAUUUGGCUAGAUAACGUGGGUAAUUGGAGGCAAGAGAUAGGUAGUGUCGAGCAAGAUGGCGGAGAUCCGCCUGUUGGGCUCUAUGGGCAACAGGGCCUCCGCCGCCGCCCUCGUUCUGCGUCGCUCGUUGCCUUCUUUGUCUUUCUUGUGCUGGCUGGUCUCCUCUCCCUCCUUUCCGUUUGGAGUCGCCUGGUGAGCGCCUCCUCUACCUUUCUUGAUGUCUUGUGGUUCUUGAAUCGAGGAUCUUCGAAGUCGCCUUCCCUAUGCCGGCUGGCCUCGUCUCCCUUCCCUCGCUUUGGAAUCGCCUGGUGAGCUCCUAAUCUACCUUCAUCGAUACGGCUUGUCGUUCUUGAAUCGAGGAUCUUUGGAGUCACCUGGUUAGCACAGAGAGGAACCAGCAAGCAAUUAAGAAGAAAUAGACCAUGUCAAGAAGCAUGUGACGAGCUUCGCUGCCCUAGAUUUCCUAGUAUGCUUGCGGUUGGAUGUGUUUGUGAUGACCAGCCGUGGUGGCAAUUUCGCCAAGCUGGAUGAUAGGAGAUCAUUGAUUGCUGCACGGGCCACCGAUUGAAGUCGAUAAAGCCCCCAAAUCCUUGGGGAGGAUGUUGUGAUAACCCACCAUAUGCGGACUGGCCUUCCUGGAAAAACCUUCCCCAACUAUGACCAAUGGGAGAAUCUGCUAACUGCGUGCAUGCUUAGAGCUGGGCUGCUGCUUCUUGUAUCGUCCGUUGUCCAUUUUCCCAUUUGGUCAAUCUGUUUUUUUUGUCCUUGCAUAGUCUUUGUUUCGUCUGUGAUUUAUAACUAAAUUUAGGCCUUGAACUCCGUUGUCUCGGAGAGAAAAGAUAGACAUGUGGUAGUGGUAAAGAUUGCGCAAACUUUGUUCUAACAGUGGAAUUUGUUGUUCA